AGGAUGGGAAAUUACUUUUCCUUUGAGAGAACUGUUUGUAACUUGGAUAGGUGGAUAACUAUGUGGUAUUUAUGAAAAUAAGGCAAAGUACUCAAUAGUGAGAGGCCAAGAGCCCCACUCCCAGAAGAGGGAGAAGGAAUAAUGCAGAGAAAGCAUGUGUCUCAAUUCAGCAGCGAACAGUGCAGCUGGAAUCUUUGAUGCGGUGGCAACUCUCAAGGGUGAUGGUUCUGCGGACAAAUACAAAGGUUCUUCUCCACGACCUCCCUGAGGGAACUCCUCUCCCAUUUCUUAUAUUCUCCAUUCUUAGAGACUAAGAUUCUUGUCCUCCUUUUUAUUCUACUUAUUCUGGGGAUCCCUUUUUUUCUGUUCUGCCCAGUUUAUAUUAAGCUAUUGAGUCUCUAAUCACACACAAUUUGGAAGGAGAUAUCUGUGUUCUUUAGAACUGCUUUCGAAUGACUUAUUGCUUCCUUCAAUGACAAAACAUUCUGACUAGUCCAUUGACUAACUUAUUCACUUUCCAAACCAACAGAUUUGUCUUAAUUUUUCUGUGCUGGGAAAUAUAAAAUCAUGCAAACCAAUAUCCUCCAGGAUAAAUUACUGGAAAUUAUGACAGAUUUCUCUCAGUCUGUGCUUUUUAGCCAUAUAGUUAGCUACAAAAUUUGGCUCACUGUGCUAUCCAAUGGGGUAGCCACUAGUCGUAUAUGGCUACUGAGCACUUGAAAUUUGGUUUAGUGCAACGGAGGAACUGAUUUUUUGCUUUUAAAACUGUAAAAUUUAAAUAGCAAAAAAAAAAGUCAAGGAAUGUUUAAUCUACUUGGGAAGGUAAGACAUGGACAUUAAAAGAAUAACUUACUUAUAUCCUAUGGUGCUUUAAAGUCCAUUAAGAGUCCUUGCCCUCCACAGAAGUACUAUUGAACAAGAAAUUAUCAUAACCCCUUGAACCAAUUACAGUGGUCACCCUUUAUCCAUGGUUUCACUUUCAGGGAUUUCAGUUACCUUAAGUCAGAGGUGGUCUGGAAGCAGAUGAUCCUCCUGACAUUAACAGUAACCUAACCCAAAGUCACCAUUCCUACAUGUCACUUCAUAUUGCGUGGAAUUUUAUCAUCUCACAUCCUCACAGGAAGAAGGGCUAUUCUCCAUGAUUUCAUUUUGUAAGUGCUCUGGCAAAUAGUCAUCAAGUUUCCAGGUUCCUAGAAAGGAAAAGAAUAACGAAUUCAUUUAUCAUCUUGAUUUGGACGAAAAACAAUUAAAAGACUCCCUUGAUGUCAUAUGUCUAUUUGGUGAUGACUCUGAAAUUAGUAUCAAUACAACUCCUGCACAUCAGAUAAAACAGUAAUAUAAGUAACCCAAAAGAUAAAAGUUUGUAAAAACAAGGUUGGAUCAUUCACAAUAAAUAAAUACAGAUUUGACUGAUUUCUAAAUGAGGCCUCGCAAAACAUGCAGCGCCUGUGAAAUACACGCAAUUUCCCAUGAGCAGCAGACCACUGGUUGGAGGGCCACCUCAUCCAAACUGGGGAGAAACAGACUCAUUCACGUCACAAAUCCUUACUGAGGACUACUGUGCACAGGACAUGGCGCUCAUGCUGGGGACACACACAGAGUCCUCAUGUUCAGGGAGCCCACACUGUAGUUUGGUAAAAGGACACAAGGAAGACAGCUGCACGUUGUGAAAACUGGUGUGAAGGAGCAAUGGAGACGGAGAGAGAUGCAGGAAAUCAGGUGACACUGUGGAGGAAGACAGGCCUCCCUGGAGGAUUCACUGUCUCAGUCAGCCUUGGGGAGCAACAAUAACGAUACAGGUGGGCUCCAAGCACAUGUCACCUACAACAUCCAAAAGGGAACCCCUGGUUUCCCAUCCCAAAUCUCCUCCUCCACAUGUCGCCUCCGACACAGUGAAUGAUGACACCUCCGCUCUUCCCUUUAAUCAGGACAGAACUUCUCAGCACCUCCUGUCAUCUGUGUCUCACUCACUCAUAACCAGAACCGGACCAACACCAAUGCCUUCCACCCUCCUGGAAGCCAGUCACAUUCUCAAUCUACAGCAGCAGCCUCCUACUUGGCUUUCCUGUUCCUGCCCGGCCAGCUCCUGUCUGCUUUCUAGACAAUAGCCAAAGUGAUCCUGCCAAACAUAAAUUAUAUCGUGUCAAGCCUCCUCCACUCCAAUCUCCCCAAUGUUUUCUCAUCUCAUGAGGAAUAAAAUCAAGGUCUUACCAUGUCCAUGAAAGACCCUUAUGUGACCUGCUACCCCAACCCCCAGCCACUACCCCGUUGACCUUCUUUCCAGUCUUGCUCUGUCUUCUCUUCAUAAAUUCUGCAGACCACACUCCUGCCUCAGGCCUUUGAGUUUCCAGUUUUACUUGGGAACAUUCCUUACCCAGGGAGCCUACUCACAUCCCUCAUCUACCUGCUCAAGUGUACCUUAACAUGGAUUUCCUAUUCCUCAAAUCACAGGCAAGGCCAAGCACUCAUUAUUCAGACAUGCUGUUUUAAUGUUCCUUACGGCCGUUUUCACUCCCAGAGCCUUACCUUCAACCUCCAUCCAUUCCUUCCUCUCACAAAGCCCAUAUUUACUUAAAUGUCGAAUCUCAUCUGCCCUCUGUAAUGACUACAUCCAGAACGUGACCAGCACUUCCCCUCCACCCAUACCGAAGCCAACCAAUCUGUCGUCAUGUUGUGCAACAGCCUCCUGUAUGGCACCCCUGCCCACUACUGUCUCUUGUCUAUAUAACAACCAGAGGGAUUCUUUGAACACGUAAUUACUUCCUGUCAUUCCAGUACUCAAGAACUGCUCAUGUUUUCUCAUCUUACUAGAAAUAAAAUCAUGACCCCUUGAAAUGGAUUACUUGAAUGAUCUUACUUUCCCUUCCCCCUGCUGUUACUGCCUCUUUGAUCUUAUUUCCAUCAUGUUCCCGACAGCACACUCCACUCUGUCCACACAGCUCCUUAAUGUUUCUCAAACACAUUCCUGCUUUGGGCUUUUAAAUUUGCUUUGCUCUCUGCUUGGAACACUCCCAAUCCAGCAGCCUGCUAAUUUCCCUCACCUCUUGGCUCUAAGGCACCUUAUCAGAGGGGUGUUCCAUUCCUAAAGAGGAAACCAAGCCCCUACUAUUCUGUUAUAGUGACUAAAUUUUUAUCACAGUACUUUUCACUCUCUGGACAUACUAUUUAUUUGUUUAUUUUGAUUAAUUUUUUUAAACCUUCUCUUAGAAUGAAAGCUCUUGCUCUAUUUGUAUGCAUUUUCUUACUGCUCCUACCCUCAAGCAUACACGCUAUCAAAAAAUAAUUUUUAAAGGAAUGAAUGAAGGAAGCAAUCACAUGUACAGAACACAGUGGGGAGAGUGUAGGAGAGAUGAAGAAACUAUUUGUGUGAGCAAGAUAAUAUAUUAUGGAGAUCACAGAAAGAAUUUCAUGUCAUGUGACAGGUAAUGUGGUUAACUGGGACUUAAUGUCAUCAGAAUAUGAUGGAAAAAAAAUAAAAGUUUCAGGGAAAUGAACCCAACAGUGUAACACCUACAAUGAACGAGAAGAAAGUCCAAAAUUAGUAAAUACACAGAGGAAUUAAAGUAGGCAUGAGUUAUGAUCUGACUUAGGUUAGAAUGGAGAAUGGAGGAUGCUAAAAUAUCUUUUUAGCUAAAAUUCAUGAACAAGAGACUCCUUUAAAGAAGAGAGCUCUGCAUAUAUGGAACAUUUGAGGUAAUGUCUGGAUGGCCAGGAUGUAAGAUGCACAGGAGUAUAGAGAACCUAAACUUACAGAGGUUUUCUGGGAGGGAAGAGGAUGAGAGUUCCUUGCACUUAUUGGGAACUCGGGAGAGUUGCUAAGGGGAUAAGUGAAUUAUAUGGAACUAAAGUCUGCUGGAUCACUUUGAGGGGAUGUCAGUUUGAGAGUCUCCUGCAGGAAACAGAAGAAGCUUAGCUUAUUAGAAUAAAGAAACUUUGAGGCGCUUAGCUGGCCCAGUGAGAGGAGCAUGAGACUCUUGAUCUGAGGUUGUGAGUGGGAGUCCCACACUGGGCGUAGAGAUUACUUAAAUAAAUAAAACAAGAGAGGGAGGGAAGGAGGGAGGGAGAAAAGGAGGAAGGAAGGAAGGAAAAAAGGUUUGAAAGGUUAGGAGACCAGAUAAGAAAAUGGAAAACAGAACCUUUGGAGGACCUCAAAGUGAGGACAAGGGCCCAGUGAAGACCAGUUUACUGUGGGGGCACAGCAUCCAGGAUGGGAAGGAGGUUAGGAAGGAAAAAUCAACAUUACCAAUGGGACAGAAAGGUGCAGUAGUUAGAAGACAGUGAGGAAUUCAAAGUUUUCUGUUUGGGGAGAGGCCUCUGGACAGUGGACAUUUAUGGCAAGGAAGGUAGAAGAGUAUGAAGAAGGGAAAGAUCUGAGAAUCCCAAGAAAAAGAGAACUAUGCAAAUAAGCAAAAAAAAAAAAUAAGAUGUACAUAAAAUAAAAAUGGAAUAGAUCCCAGAAUAGGUAAAAGG